AGCGAACGCUGGCGGCAGGCUUAACACAUGCAAGUCGAACGGACCCUUCGGGGUUAGUGGCGGACGGGUGAGUAACACGUGGGAAUGUGCCCUUAGGUUCGGAACAACACAGGGAAACUUGUGCUAAUACCGGAUGUGCCCUUCGGGGAAGGAUUUAUUGCCUUGGUAGCAGCCCGCCGUCUGAUUAGCUAGUUGGUGAGGUAAAGGACUCACCAAGGCGACGAUCAGUAGCUGGUCUGAGAGGAUGGCCAGCCACAUUGGGAC
rnacentral:rRNA from 1 species